rnacentral:rRNA from 1 species
GGGCGUUAAGUUGCAGGGUAUAGACCCGAAACCCGGUGAUCUAGCCAUGGGCAGGUUGAAGGUUGGGUAACACUAACUGGAGGACCGAACCGACUAAUGUUGAAAAAUUAGCGGAUGACCUGUGGCUGGGGGUGAAAGGCCAAUCAAACCGGGAGAUAGCUGGUUCUCCCCGAAAGCUAUUUAGGUAGCGCCUCGUGAAUUCAUCUCCGGGGGUAGAGCACUGUUUCGGCUAGGGGGCCAUCCCGGCUUACCAACCCGAUGCAAACUGCGAAUACCGGAGAAUGUUAUCACGGGAGACACACGGCGGGUGCUAACGUCCGUCGUGAAGAGGGAAACAACCCAGACCGCCAGCUAAGGUCCCAAAGUCAUGGUUAAGUGGGAAACGAUGUGGGAAGGCCCAGACAGCCAGGAUGUUGGCUUAGAAGCAGCCAUCAUUUAAAGAAAGCGUAAUAGCUCACUGGUCGAGUCGGCCUGCGCGGAAGAUGUAACGGGGCUAAACCAUGCACCGAAGCUGCGGCAGCGACGCUGAUGUGUUGUUGGGUAGGGGAGCGUUCUGUAAGCCUGUGAAGGUGGCCUGUGAGGGUUGCUGGAGGUAUCAGAAGUGCGAAUGCUGACAUAAGUAACGAUAAAGCGGGUGAAAAGCCCGCUCGCCGGAAGACCAAGGGUUCCUGUCCAACGUUAAUCGGGGCAGGGUGAGUCGACCCCUAAGGCGAGGCCGAAAGGCGUAGUCGAUGGGAAACGGGUUAAUAUUCCCGUACUUGGUGUUACUGCGAAGGGGGGACGGAGAAGGCUAUGUUGGCCGGGCGACGGUUGUCCCGGUUUAAGCGUGUAGG